AAGAAGCACCAAUUUGAGCCUGCAGAGCCGCCAGUGUCCUGCAACAAAUUAUGAAAGCCAUCAAGAAGCGCCGUGCGCCGCGGAACCCUUUUUAUUGGGAAAACCUGGCGCCUCCUGCCCGUAUCAGACGACUCGAAACGGGAGAGAGGAGUGGAGGAGGUGGGGGAAGCAAAAUCUGUGAAAACAGGAGCAGGACGUGCUGAAAUGCAGCUUUGGUACAGAGGAUGGAUGGAGGAUUUUCUAAACGUCACAGAAAGGUUUGUUCUGGGUGUGAGGAAAGAGCUGGGGUGAUCUUCAACAGCAUACAGCAGAGCUGAGCAUGCAGAGUCCUGCUGGUUAUUUCAUACUAGCAACUUCCUUUUUCUGAUGAGAAAAAAAAACAGUGGGUUUUAAUCUCUAAUACCUCCAACAAGUAAUUAAUGGGACGUUUUCAAUUAUUAAGGAAAGUAGUGUUUGAUUUUAUGUACAGCUGUAGGCUACAUGAGGAGAAAACUUCCAAAUUUAAAACAAAUAUUUCAAAACUACAUGCAUGUCUUUAUCAGAACUAA